CAUUGCUAUUGGCUAAUCUGUCCACAAAAGACAUGAUAUGCCCACCUGUGCACCUGGCUCAGAGGACUGGUGCCUCCUGUGUUUGCCCCCGUUACAUUCUGUGUUUGUAUUGGGUACCUGCUUCUCUGUCGUCCUCUGUUAGAUGUGUUUACUUGCACUGGCUUCAUCUCUCCAGUUUGCUCUCCUAUCGUCCACGCCUCUUGUGGCUGCCGGCGUAUUGUAAAUGCAGUGACUCAGUGGUGAAUGAGUAGAUAGGUUGGAGUAAUAUGAUCCCAGGUUCAGACCUUGUCAGUCUUUUCUCUGAGUCUUGAUUCCUUGUUCUGACACUCUUUGUCCUGCCCUUUAUGUCCAGAGAAGACCCUAGACCAGGGGUGACGAACCCAUGGCAUGCACAUGCACGGUAUUUUUUUUUUAAGACAAAAGAUGUUAAUGUAUAAGUUGGUUUUUCUAAACAAAAACCUCCAUAUUUAGGUUUAAUUGCAGUAUUGGCACUCUGCAAUAAAUAAGUGGGUUUUGGGUUGCAGUUUGGGCACUCGUCUCUAAAAGGUUAUCACUGCCAGACAUCCCCACAGCCUCUCUUCCCUGAUGCUCAAUCUUUAGUCUUUCACACCACUUUUAACAUACUGACUAUAAAGGCUAUCUAUCCAAGAUGUUAGAUGUGCUAUACUCGUGCAGGGAGGAAUGUGGCUGGGAAGGGAAUUAAUAUUUCAUGAAAGCUUUCCAACUACCAUGUAAGUUUGGUUUUUAAUUAUGUUAACUCUUCAGAUUUAUUGUUAAAACCUAUGUUCUUUCCACUUUAUACAUGGAAAAACUAAAGUCCAGAAAGGGUUAAGCAGCUUGCUCCAGGCUGCAUAAGAAGCUGCACAGGAGAAAUAGAAGUCCAGUUCUUUCUGAUCCCAAAGCUUACUCUGCUUGUCUUUCUGAUCCCAAUUUAAAAGUGCCAUUAAAUGGGAGAUCACUUAGGAGCACUGGACAGUGAAAGGCAGCAUAUGAGUAUAUUCAUUCAUGAGGAAGGACAAACAUAAAGAAAAGACUUACUUGUAGAUUUGAUUCUAAGCAGAGAUGGACAGGGGUAAGCCAGGCAUGAUGGCACGUGCCUGUAAUCCCAGCACUCUGGGGGGCCGAGGCUUGGAAGCUCACAAGUUUGAACCCAAUGUGGGUAGCUUUUAGUGACCAGCAAGACCUUGUCUCAAAAUAAAGGGUUGGGGAUGAAGGAGCUCAGUGUGAAGGCUGUGGGUUCAACCUAUAGGACCAUUAAAAAUAAAAACUUCCAAGUCUACAGAGGUUCCAGGGUUUGUUGUGCACCCAAGAAGAGAUCUUUUGGUGGCCAUCUGUUACAGGCUACAUUGACCCAUUGCUUCUUAACAGAGGAAGCAGGAAAGCUUGUUGGCUAGGCUGCACUCGUUGCUCUCCUCCAGUGUAGGGAUGGUACAAGCCUUGGCCUCACUUCUGCCCUUAGAUUAGAGCCUCCAGGUGCUGCUGUGGAAGUCACAAGCUCACAGGCAAGACGGGUGCCAGUGGGAGGCUGCAGGGCACUUGUCACUGCCUUGUAUAGCUUUCUCCACUGAGCCUCCUAAGCAGAUACCUGAAUGUUGAGAGGCUGCGGGUGUAGCAGUCACCAGGCUCCCAGGUUCCCUAGGGGAGUGGCAGAGAAGAUGAAAGACCCUAAUCCCUAAUGUGUACUUCUUUGCCUGGUAUUUUUUAAGAUUUGCUUUUCCUGGCCACUUUUUUUCCAUUUGGCAAGAUCCUUGUGGAUUUGAACCCCAAUUCUCAAGAACCUGUCCAGUGUACUACAUUCCUGUGUGGAUGUCAUCUUGAAGUGCUUGAGCUUUCCAGGCACCAAAGAAUGUGUUAAAAGUAGUACUUGCUUUAAAGGUUAACACCUGUCAACCACAGCCCAUCCUCUCCACCAGUCUGUUCCAUCCCACAUUCCUGGACCCUGUUGUCCCCACUGGCUAGUAGUGGGCGUGCUUUGUGGCCUCAGCACCAUUUUAAUCAUUAAUUUAGCAAUUCCAAUAGGUGGUAACUUGACAGGACUGAGUUUUCUUCACCAGACUGCCGAGUCACUCAGCCUCUUAUUGAAUAAAACAGGAAUUUUCUGAGCUUCACAUCCUUUGUAAGGUGCCCUUUGGAGCUACUAUGAAGGCACUCCCAGUUGCUGUGGCAGCUCAUGUCACAAGGAUGACUAAGGUGUUGACUUGAAAAAUCUGUUUUAAGAAAUGAAGACCUUGACGUGUUGGCUUCCUCUCUUGUGAUGUGGUGAAAGAUGCAUUCCAGCUUGCAAGUUAGACUGUGUAGGAGACACUGUAAUGUGUCUUAAAUUCCAAAUUGCCCUCCACCUGAUUCUGAAGCAGUCGAGGAAGAUGGUAUUUGCAGGGGCAUUUACCCUUUUCCCCUUCUGCAGCUAGGCUGUCUGCAGUCCAUGCUGCUAAAACAGCAGGCUGCAAAGUCAGUUUUGAAAAUAGAAACCUCCUCUUAUCGUCUGUGUAGGCUGCUUUCAUGUGUUUCUCCUGUGAUUGGAUAUAUAGGUUUUAUACCAGGCUUUUAUUUCCUAAGACAUCUUGCCAAGCAAACCCUGCCAAUCUGCUAAUCUCAUGGCCUCGUGUAUCGGCAGGCAAUUUCCUUAGCAACAGCCACACCUUGUGUUGUCUCCAGUACAGAGUGAACACAGGCAUGAGGAGGCAGAUGUCACCCACUGUAUAGAAACUUUCCCAGCCCAAGUGACUUAGGCAGGAAGAAGAAGAUGCUCAAAAGUAUAUUGGUUGAUGACACUGGUGGAGUAACCUGCUGACUUCCACUUCUGCUGUUGUUCUGGGAGAUGUCCCAGGGGUUCAUGCUAUCAUUUAAAUUCCAGGUGCUGCUUUUCUGAACAAAUGCCUCCUGAGGAUUUGUGCACCUGGGAAAUACCUGCCAACGGAUUGCCUUUACACCCUGUAUGAGGAGACUGAGGUACAGAAAGAUAACAUUUACCCAAGGUUGUUCGGGGAGCUCUGGCUCCAGAAGUCUGCAUUUCCCUUCUCUCACCACACUACCUCAUAGAAAAGGGAAACUUAGGAGGAUAAACAGCCAGGUAGGUCGUAGAGACAGUACUUGAGCACCUUGCAUGAUCUGUGGGAAUAGUCACAGUGCUGUUUGGCCUUGAGCUUCAUUAAGGUUAGCAGAGAAACAAGGCUGUAGGGAAGAUGGGAUUUGGUUAAGAUCACAGUGCAAGUAAGAAGUAUAGCUGAGUGUCCAGGGCUUCUGAUCAUUCAAUGUGAGCCAAAUUUCACUGAUUUCUAAGUUUUCUCCUCUUCUUGGUGUUUCUUUGGGUUCUGCUAAUCAGCACUAGUACUGAUGUUAGUGGUUUGCUUAGAUGCAUAUUGGCACAGUUGGUGCCGACUGUGGCCAUGUGAAGAUGAGCUGUUAGUUUUCAUAAGGCACCAGGCAGCAGAGAGCGAUGGCUAUGAGCCUGGGCUCUGUCAGGAUCAGGCAGACCAGGGUCUGAGCUGCAGUCUUGCCACUUAAAAGCUGUAGGAUCAAGAGCAUGUCAUUUGCCCUCUCUCCCUCAUCUCUCAUCUGGAUGCACCAACCAUGUUAGGUGGUAGUGAAUGUAAAGAAAGUGUACUUAAAGCACAUAGCAUAGUAUUUUUUCACAGAACAAGGAUUCCAAAGAUGGAAGUUAUGAUUAUUUUUCAGAGUGCCCUCUGCAUCCACUUACUUACUGGCCUUCACCCUGAGAAUACACUCCACAGAAUUCCAGCCCACCCAAUAAAACCUUAGAUACUUGUGAAUGCUUUAAAAAUCACUGAUUAUUUCAUAUACUGCAUUAUGCACAACUCUACCAACCACUGUGUUACAGGAUUUUGUACCUCUAUUCCCAACAUCAAGACCCAAAGGAUCAGAGAAAUUAAAUGAUUAGCCCAGGAUUACAGAGCAGUAAGCAGCACAGCCAGAUCCUGUGCUGCCUGUUCGUCUUCCUGUUUGCUGAAGGCAUCCAGGUAGGCAGAUCAGACAUUUAUGGUUGUGUGGUCCAUCACCAUAGCAAUGGCAGUUGUGCCUUAGGCUGGCCUGAACACUCAAAUUAGGACAGUUGUGUUCUAAUGUCCCUCACAUUUUGAAGCUGUGUUUUUAAAGAGAUGUCGGAGGUAGACAUAGCUCUCUUUGUGAAAUCCCAAACCCUGAGGGAAAUUACCUUAAUCCAGUUUGCUCUCAAAAAAAUGGGCAGGCCUCUCAUAAUCAAGGGAGACGACACAAGUCCACUGUUGGGCUUUGGCACACAGGAGUCCUUCUGUGAGUUAGUGACUCACAUCCCAGCCUCAAUCCCACUGUCAGAUCUGGAAGAAAAACGUAAUAAGAAGGGCAGCUGCCUGAAAAACAGAGGCAGUAUGGACUGUGUUUUGAAAUGGAGACACAUUCUCUUGGCCUGUGGGCCAAGAGACAGGAGGAUUCUGUUCUUGGAAGAUGACUAAUGCUGGGGAGGAGAGUCUGCAAUUUUAAAUGAUGUUCUAUGUGAGAAAGAGUUUUAAUGUUGCAAUACCUUAAAGUUGUUGCUGGUUAAAAAUAGGAACAUCCUGAGUUACAGAAAUUCAGGCUUACUGUAUCCUGGCCUAAAAGUUGAUUGUUGGAAAUGAGGGAUAAGGUCCCAGCAGGGUUGUCCUUUCAAUGAUGAGACUCAGCAAGUAAUUCCACACCUCUUGCUGUCACUCUGUUCUCCUGUAUGUGUCCUGGAAAGAGAAUGGAUGAGUUCCUAUUAAUUUAUCAAUUAGUGUUUCCAUUUUCCUUCCAGAGAACAACAUAGAGAUUUUUCUUUAACUUGGUAUUAACUUGGUAGCCAGCCUCCCCCUGCAGACCUGUUUUUAGGAAACAGGGCCCCACACUCGAGAUCUCUGUCUUAAUGUGUUUAAGUAACUUUACAGCCACUUAACUGAGCAUCCCAGGUCAUCCCCAAGUACUUGAAACGUACUGUGGAAAAGAAUACUAAAUGAUGUUUGCAUUAAGGCUUUGCUGAAAAUGCAUUGUCAUACUGGACUAAUAUAAAGAGAUGUAGACACAAAAGAAUAUAGUUGCUGUUAUUCUGCUGAAUUUUGAGAGGCAUACAGGAUGAUCGGAAUAUACUGUAGAUGUUUAAAUUUUUUAUUACAGUAAAAGACACAUUGCCAUUAAUCCCCUUCAAAAUUUGUUCUCUUACUUCCAAUACACUUAUCCCGUUAUUCUUGCCACUUCCUGAAGCAGUUCUGGAAGUCUCUGUCAUGUGUGUUUUUAUGAGGUAUGAUGAAAAAUACGGUCAAUGCUGCUGCCAAGUGCAGUUAAGGCAGGCUCAUAAAAACAUUACAGUGUGGGCUGGGGAUUUGGCUCAGUGGUUCUUCCACCUGCCUGGCAAGUGAAAGGUCCUGAGUUCAAUCCCCAGUACCAAUAAAUAAAUAGAUAGAUAGAUAGAUAGAUAGAUAGAUAGAUAAAUAUAUAUAUAUUAGUGUGUCCUCAUCCACCUUAUUCAUAGCAUCUGGUGCCAUGCAACUUCUCGCUCCUCCCCAAAGUCAGAAUGACUGUGAAAGGUAAAUGUUUUGAAUCAGUUCAGGACAUGAAGGCAGCCACAACAGCGUGACUAAAAACACUGACAAAAGACAACCUCCAGAACUGCUUCAGAAAGUGGUAAAAAUGGUGAAAUAAGUGUGUUAAAAGUGAGGAACAGUAUUUUGAGUGGGGUUAAUAGCAAUGUGUUCUUUACUGUAAUGAUUUUUUUAAAAUUUAACAUUAACCAUAUUCUUCAAUCACACCUCUAACGUAGAAAUCUAACUUAGAAAAUGUAUCUGCCUCUGUGACGGACACAGCUGUAUAUAUGGUAGAAGUUUGUGUGCCUGGGUCCGUAUAAACGUAUGUGGUAUAUAAGAUACAUUUGAUCUUAACAGAUAUGAGUAAAAGAAAAAAGUUCAUUUUCAGGGAAAAACUUAUCCAUUUUAACUAAAGUGUCAAUCAUUUGAAAAAAUUUCUGAGGAUCAGUAGGCAAAAACCUAGUCAAUUGUGGAAAAUAAGUAGACCUUUUUGUUCCAGAUUUGGGUUUUUUUAACUGAUGAGAAUAAUCUGGCUGCUUCUUAUAUUCUUGAGUCAUUGAUACAGUGAAAUACAUUAGCAUUUGCAGAGAGCAGCAGUGGAUCCUUUACAUGAAUCAUAAAAUUAGGAGAAUAGUUAAACUUGAGAAUUCCAAGGAUUCUUCUAUCCUGGCACCUUUUCAGGUUUAAAUGCUUAUCUUUACAAUCCAUUUGACAUAUUUCACUGCCUAUCUGUGCAUUUCUUUGCAGUCUAUGAUCUCUCACAGCUGCCCAUCUCAGAAACCCAUGGAGCCCCAGUCCUUACCUACAGAGAUGAAGAAGCCAGCUGAGCAGCAACAGCUGUGUGCUUGGGGUACUAUUUCAUGAUAAAGGAUGGGUGUGUGUUGGAAUUGCCAAGUCUUUCAGGAGUAAAGUGCUACCAGACAUGAGCCAAACAGCCCGUACCUCCCGGCUGGUUAGCAUCCUCUGACCUCACUUGAAAUCAUGAGCUACAGGCACACUGUCAUAAAAAGAUUGCCCAAUACUCCCAAUAUAAUCGUACAAUGAGGAUGGUAUACCAGGAAAGUUAAAGUUUGUUAAAUUGAUUUAAGCCAAGAGAACAGGUAAGUGAAUGUUAUAUCCAGGGUUAGGAGCUGCGUUUCAUAAGGUGAUGGUAUUAUUAUUAUAAAAAAUGGAGAGCCAGGGAUUUAGCGCAGUGGUUUUGCCGCCUGCCUCAAAAGCACAGAGUCCUGAGUUCAAUCCCUGGUACCAAAAAAAAAAAAAAAAAAAAAUGGAGGGAAGGGUAAAUCUAAAAAAGACCAGAGAGUCUUAGUGUUGUUGUGAUCUGUGUUUGAAAAAAAAACAACAAGCUAACUUUUUGGAAAAAGGGGACAGUUGAUUAAGGAAUUGAUAAUCUUUGAAGGAAUAAGGUUUAAGACAUGCUUAGCAGUUAGAAGCAGAAUAUCUAGGUGAUUGUCAAUUUAUUUUCAAACAGUGCCGCAAAAAAAAAAAAACAUAGAUUAUAUGUAAUAGUAUAUAGCUAAUAGCAAUAAAAUGGCAAAAAUGAACAGUUGUUGAAUUUUGGUGGUGGUACAAAUUUAGGAAUUCAUCUCCCCACCCCAUACCAGGGAUCGAACUCAGGACCUUGUGCUUCCAAGGCAGGCACAGUGCCAACAAGCUAAAUCCCCGGCCAGGAAUUCAUUUUAUUAACAUUCAGAGUUAUGUAUCUGACAUUUUCUCUGUUUUUUUUUUUUUGUUGUUGUUGUUGUUUUGGUAUCAGGGAUCGAACUCGGGUCCUUGCACUUGCAAGGCAAGCGGCGGAACCACUGAGCUAAAUCCCUGGCCCCCUAACUAUUUUUUUUUAAAGAACAUGUUAAGUAUCACCUAAGAAUCUUCCUUGGAUUCCUAGAACCUUAAAGAGAAUGUCAGUAAGCUGUCUAAUAAGAUGAUAUCAAGAAUUAUACUGGGAGGGAGACAAGAACUGCAGGAAAAAAGUAACUUUUCAGCCAGGCCUGGUGGCAUAGGCCUGUAACCUUAGCACUCUAGGAGCCUGAGGCAGGAAGAUUGAAAGUUUGAGCCUAGACUGGGCAACUUAGCAACUUAACAAGACCCUGUCUCAAAAUUAAUAAAAUGGGCUGAGGAUGUUGCUCAGUAUGAAAGCUCUGGGUUCAAUCCCCAGUACCACCACCACUGAUAAUAAUAAUAAUAGUAGUAGUAGCUGCUGUUGUUACUAUUUGAACUAAGAGACACAGCCCCACCUUUUGAGUGCAGAGGGGGAGAAUCUGAUGCUAACAAACUCCCAAACUCUUAGAUGCCUCUGAGAAUUCUGGGAAAAAACAUUGGAAUCUCAUUAUCAUCAGUGUUUUACUUUGCCUCUCAUCUAGUCUCCUGUCUUCCUUGGAUCCCAAAAUCACAGUUAUGCCUUGAAUCAAAGAAAAUUAACCCCAUGUAAAAGUUCUGGGUUUAGAAAAGUGUUUCCUACAGUUUCUAUCAGGGCAUCUGCUGAGUUUGUGCUGUUUGUAGUUAUCCCACCCCUCCCUGGCUCUUUGACCCCAGGACGAGCUCUGGUUCUCCUGCUGUGGUGGUUUACUCCAGUAAAGGAUCUUUCUUGACUUCCACCAGUGACACAGCACUGUUGCCAAGUGAUAAAACCAAACCUCUGAGCAACUAAGAACAGAGUUACAGGCAUUCUAGCCCCCAGCGCAACACCAGAUAGAGUGACAGUGGUGUAUGAACAGGUAACAUUUGAUAAAGCUCUGUGUAGACCACUCAGUGAAUAAUGCGUAGCCAGGUUGCAGCCUUCCCUUUGUAGGUUGUCUCAAGUUUAUAAUAAGAGCUUCUGAAGAAAACAAGAUCAUAAAGCUUCUUCAGGAAGCUGGUUUCAUAUGGUGGUUUAGAUUUAAAUAGUGAUUGUCUAGCACCAUUUGAAAUCAGUGUUCUUGGGGGAGGCCACCUGCACUGCCAACAGUGAAAAAAUGAAUGAAGAAUUUGAAAUCAAAAGCAAGACAGCCAGGAGAACCUGCCUCAUGGUGUAGAUGACCCACUUCUUGCAUUAUAUAUAACAAGUGAAUUAUAUGGGAUGCUUUCUUACUAGAAUUGUGUACAGUGCUUAUUUGUCUAAUAAACCUUCUGUGUCACUUACCUGUACUGUAGACUUCAUCAUGCCUAGGUUAAAGGGACAAAUGUAUGAUGACUCACAACCUCCUGUGACCCCUUAGAGGAUGACUGAUUUCUUUUGGUGUUCAGAGUCAAUAUAAUUUUCUAGCACCAUCUGAAAUCGGUUAUAAUGAUUGGGGAAGAGCACCAUGCAGCCAACUGAUGAAAGAAUAUAUUUAUAUAUUAUAUAUAUAAAUGACCUUUGGGCCAUGAAUAAGAACUAAGAAAACAGAAAUACAAAACAUCCCAUGAUGAUUUUUCUUCUUUUCAUUUUUAAAUUGAGUUUCAUUGCCCUGAAUUACAUGUGUUGUAAUAAAAACAAUGAUGAACUAUUAGCAUAUUUCUGUGGUUAUAUUUUAGACACAUUGCAUAGAAUUCAUGGAUUUUUGUUUUGGUAACAGAUACCUAAGGGAAAAAAUGGGCAAAAUCGAUGACUACCUGAGAUGAUUUGAGGAGGUUCUAUUUACUUGGAAAAAUUCAUUGUCAGCUCAGCUGGGAGCACUCUCCUCACCUAGCUGGCCACAGAGCCCAUUCUGUGGUUAGAUACUCAGACUUAAGUGGGCUUUAAGUGAAAUCUAACAAAAGAUGGAAUGACAAAUGGUACAGAAAACUGGGUUGCAGAGUCUAGGAUAGAACUGAGUUGCUAGGUUUUGGUUCAAUUUAGAAAGCAAUGUACAGAAAGCAGGAGUUUCUACUUAAACUAUCAUCCCAAAUUUCCCCAUCUUACUAGAGAUGAAGUCCUUAGAUGGUGUUAUGGCUCGUGUCUAGAUGUCCCUCAAAAGCCUCAUGCGGUCAUAGGUGGAGCUUUUCCGAGGUGGCUGGAUCUAGACUGUGUGAUGCUGGGAUUAAGGAUGUGAUGCUAGGAUUGACUCAUGGUUCGAUGUUAGGGUUAAGGCUGCCUCUCCCUAGGUGUGAGUGCUACCUGCCCUCAGAGUACCCUGGAUAGAAUAUAAGGGACAGGAAAAGGGCUGCUCUUGUCGCUGCUAUUACUUGCUGCAUCCCUACUUUUUGCUUCUUGCUACCUUUUGCAUUGCUUCUUUCCCUCUGCCUGCCAUGAACUGUUUCUCCUCUUCGAUGCCCUUCUGCCAUGCCACCCUGUCUUGGACGAGCCAACAAUGAACUGGAACCUCUACAAACUGAGCUACUUUCCUCCCUUGACUUUGGGUGUUGGGUAUUUUGUUUCAGCGAUGAGAAACAUAACAAAGACAGAUGGGAAAUAAUGCUGAGUUCUCUAGGUUUAUAAGGAAAAACAAGAUGUAAGAAUGAGUCAUCCCAGCCACUGUGCCUCCUAGCUUGCAAAUGCUGCUCCCACCAGAACUGCUGUUGUAGCUGACAGUUCCACUUGCUGUCCCCAUGUUGCAUCUGGAGAACAGAGGGACACUUGAUGGGAUUCAGGCCUUGUCCUGUUCUCUCUGGCAAUUCAGGAUAAUGUCUGCCCAUCUAUCAAAGCUUUUCUACCCUUUCCAUCUCUGCUUCCUACUUUCUUAACAUUCUGCUGAAAAUGUCUCUGGGAAAGCUCUCUUUACCUCAGGGCCAGAUGUGGAAUUUAUAGCCCAAAGAUCCUAGCUACCGUGCAAAUCAAAUGAGAAUUAGGAUUGUUGCACCAUUUCUUUUUCUGUCCUAUAGUUAUUAUUUUCUCAAGAUUCUGUCUUUUGCUUUCCUACUUAUUAUUUACUGAAUAGCCUUAUUUAUUCCCCUAGGUUGAAACACAUCACCUAUGAUUUCCAAAUAUUCAGUGGCUCCUAGAUAGUUUAACCUGUUUUUCCAAACCUGUCCCAAUUUAAUAUGCCCUGCCCUUGACCUCCUCAAAGGCAGCUUCCUUCUGCCAUACCCCAUGGCUGAAGAUACGGGUCUCAGAAUGGGUCCUCAUUCCCCACAUCCACACUCAGUAAAUCUCUUUGUUAUAACUCUCUCAAAUUCACCCUUUGCUACCUCUUUAGCCUCCUACAUGACUUCCAGCCCCACCCCUCACCAUUACACUAGCUUUUGAAUUGCCACCAGUUAUGUUUGUAAAAUACACACGUAGCCUUGUUCGUCCAGUGCCCUCCGUGUGGACCAAGUGUGGGGUGCUGCGGACUCCCACCCUGCCUGUAUACCUGUGCUUGUUGGGCCCCACACUCCUUCUUAGCCACUUGUAUUACGCUUUCACUCAGUGGCUGGCUGCUCGGGACACGAGGUCCUUGCCAUUCCAAGCCGGUGUGCACACUGCAUGCCUUCCCUGCUCUUGCCUGGGACCUCUGGUCACUCUCCCCACCCUGUGGCUCCUACAUGUGCUCUGCUGUGAACCCUCCACACCAUCACUGUCAAGGCUGAUGCUGGUGGUGGCUUUCUUCCCUGAGCUCUUUGCCAUCCUGACACACUUCGCACAUUGUACCCUUGACUACUUGUCUACUCUGUCUUCUCUGCCAGGAUGCAAGAUCUGUGCCUUUAGGAGAGAUGCACAUACUCUGUGCCAGAAUUUUAUAACGAAUUUAUCAUGUAUGACAUCUGCCAUAAUAAUCGUAAACACUUUACAGUACUAAACUCUGUGUUUAAAAAGUUUCCUUAAUUACUUAAACAUUUAGCUGCAAUAUUUUCUAGCAUUUCCAAGUGGUACUUAAAGAACAAUCCAUAAAAAGUAAAAUUCUGAGGAAAACAUGAGUGCUGUUACAAACAGGAGAAAGGAAGGACAUCCUACUUGUUACAUGCAAUCUCCUGGCUGAAUUUUAAAUAGGCUGUAUAAAUGAAAAAAAAAUCAGAUGAGUUAUGAUCUGCAGAGCUUUGGAUAGAUAGAUCUGAAAAAGCCAUUAAGUGAGGGUUUUUAAAACUUCUUGGUGACCUAACAAAAGUCCAAAAUAAACCAUAAAAAAUAAAACACAAAACAAAAUCAGAUUUGAACUCUGAAGCCAACACACACAUGUGACUGAGUUUGGGUGACCAUGUUUUGCUUCCUGGUUGGCUCUGAGGGGUCAAAUUUUUUGUAGGCAGCUUACCUAAUUUUCACCAAUUAAAUCAUGAAGAAAAUAGACAUUUCUUGAUGAAAAGAGUUCCAAAGGAAGGAGAAAUGAAUUUUAAUUCGAAAAAGAAGCAAAACACAAUAUGAGCUCAUUCACAAGACAUUCAGAACCUUGAAUUCAACUUUUCUGCUUGUCUGUAUUUUAAAAUGAAAGUGUCAGAUGACAAAAAACAAGCUGUUACAUUUACUGAAGAACUGCUUAUGUUAAAAAAUUCUGUUUAUGGGCCGGGGAUUUAGCUCAGUGGUUUGGCCGCCUGCUGUGCAGGCGCAAGGACCCCAGUUCGAUCCCUGGUACCAAAAAUAAAAAUUCUGUUUAUAAUUCUAGGCUAGAACUAUAAACAUUUCUGCCUGUUUUGCCUAAAAUAUAAUUUUGGUACUCAAAAUGAUGACAGCCCCUCAGUUACUAUAGAAGUUAUAAACCAUCAGAACCUUAAAUUUUAUUCACCAUCUUAUGUUUAAUAAGUCAGGGGAACAUAUGUUGAGACUUUGUGGAUGGCUCUCAUUUAAUGGAAACUAAAAUAGAAUCUGUAUACUCUAUAUGCAGAAUCCAUUACACAGCAUUCUUUAGUUUUAUCAAUGUAAAACUCCAAAGUUUACCAUUUUAAUUAUUUUAAAGUGUGUAAUUCAGUGGCUUACAGGCCAUUUACACUGUUGUGCAGCCAUCACCACUGCCUAAUUCCAGAUCAUUUUCAUCACCCCAAAAAGAAACCCUAUACUCAUUAAAUAAGUUUUCUUCGUUCCCUCUUUCCUAGCAUCUGAUAAAAUCUGCUUUCUGUAGAUUGACAUCUUCUGGACAUUUCAUAUAAAUGCAGUCAUACAACACGCAGCCUUUGUGUCUGGCUUUGUUUACUUAAUGCCAUGUUGGGGCAGGUAUCAGCUUUGUUCCUUUUUAUGGCUGAUAACAGCCCAUUGUGUGGACAUACCACAUUUUGUUUAUCCAUCCAUCAGUUUGACAUUUUGAAUUGUCACACAUAUCUUUCAUUAGUUUCCUGAGAAAGAGUGACUGUGGGUAAUUUCUGUAGAUUUUUCAUUAAACUCACUGGUUAUGGAAUCUUUAUUGGAAAAAUACUCCCCUAAGACUUUUGUUUUCCAGUAUCCAAUAUUGUUGAGAAGUCUAGGGAGCCAGGGAUUUAGCUCAGUGGUUCCACCGCCUGCCUUGCAAGUGCAAGGACCCGGGUUCGAUCCCUGGUACCACCAAAAAAAAAAGAGUAACAGAGAAGUCUAAUAAAAUGCUAAUUAUUUCUGAAACUUUUUAAGAGAUUCUGUUUACCUCUUGUAUCCUUAUAUUUCAUUAGGUAUGUGCCAUGAUAGAAGUCUUUUCCAUUUCUUUGUCCAGGCUUUUGAUGGCUUUUUUAUUCUGAGAAUGUGUCUUUCAACUCUAGAAAACAUGCUUGUUAUUAAUUUAUUUUUUUUAUUAUCACUUUUUUUUUUUUUUUGGUACUGGAUAUCGAACUCGGGUCCUUGUGCUUGCGCAGCAGGCGGUGAAACCACUGAGCUAAAUCCCCGGCCCUAUUAUCACUAUUUUAACACUAUUGUUUUUCACAUGUUGGACCUCUGAGGUUAACUCUAUGAUCCCCUCUUACCAGUUUCCAUCAUUUUUAUCUUGUUCUACUUUCUAGGAAAAUGCUCCCCUUUGCCUCCAAAACUUCAUACUGAAUUCUUAUUUCUGCUACUAUAUUUUUAAAUAGUAGAGAGGUUUUGUCUUUUCUUAAAAGCAUUUUUUCCUGUUUGGAGGAUUUACAAAUGUUUCUGAGGAUGUUAAUUUUACCUUUUUAAACUUUUCUGCCCCCUGACUGUCUUUGAUCCUUCCAGGUUCUUUGUUUCUUCAUUUUUGGCUUUGUAGUUCAUGUCGCAAGUUCUCCAUUCAUAUUAACACAUUCAUGAUGAGGUUCACAUGUCUCACUGGAGGCAGCUUUUUAUUUUAUUAGUAAGAAGACCUAUGAAAGUAAUUAGAUCCGUUGUACCAUGGAUGAGACCGUCAUCCAUGUACCGCCGGUAGUUGAAGCAGGCAGGAACAUGUUAAAGACGGAGCUAAUGUUGGAACACUCAAUACACUGGUGGGACUUACCACCCGCCAGCCUAAUCAUAGGGUGUGCAGUGGGCUGAACCAUAGUCCCCUCUCUCACAUACACAAAAGAUGUCCACAUCCUAAUCCUAGGAACCUGUGAAGUGUUACCUUUUGUUAUCUUUCAAGAUUUUAAACACCAUAUUUUGUUUGAUUUUAGUAGUUUUGUUCUAAAUUCCUUCAUGUUUCUGGUGCUUUGGAGUCAUUGAGCUUCUUGGACCUGGGAGCUGAUGAUUUUCUUUAAAUUUGGAAUAUUUCUGGUCAUUGUUUUGUUGUUGUUGUUGUUGCUGUUGUUGUUUUAGCUAUACCUUCUCUCUCCUCCAAGGAUGAGCUGCUUAUGUGUCAGAAUGGGGUCUCUUAAGCAUGGUUCACAGCUCAUUGGGAUUUUCUAUUUUCCUCUUACAAAAUUAUCUUUUUUCUCAGUACUAACAUGUAGAUGGUCCAAAGACAAGUUGCUGGUAGGAUUGAUUUCUCCUGAGGUGUCUCCCUGUCCUGCAGAAGGCUUCUCACUGUUUCUUCCUAUGGCCUUUUCUCUGAAUGUGGACAGUCCAGGGGUCUCCCCUGGUGAGGGGGCAGUUCUGUUGGAUCAGGUCCCAUCUAAAGACUUCAUUUAAGUAACUUAAGUCACCUCCUUGAAAGCCCCAUUAUUUCUAAAUACAGUCGUUCUGGGAAUUAUGGCUUUAACCUGUGACCUAUUGGACCUAUAAAUGCUGUAGGACAGAAUUCAGCACCUAGAACAUUUCCAGGCUUUGCGGGGGGGUGUCUAUUGUCCUGUCUCAGCCUCUGCUAGCACCUGAUGAUCGACAAUGUGGCAAUUUCAGAGGGUGAGCUGGCUAUAAACGGGGGCACCAUGAUUCUCUUGUGUGACACCUCAGCCUCCUGCAGGCUCAUGUGGACUUAUUCCCAUGGAGAUUGCAGGGUUCUUUUUUUAAAUUCCAUUUGUUGAAAAACAAAUGUUUUUGCUUAAUGCCUCUGUCUUCAAGAGUUUUACCUAUUUUAUCUUCCAGCAGAUUUUUAACAUUUAAAUCAUUGAUCCAUUUUGAUUUUAGUUUAGUACAUGGUGAGAGAAAUGGAUCUAGAUUAUAUGGCUCUAGAUUCAGUCUUCUGCAUGUGGAUAGCCAAUUUCCCCAGCACCAUUUAUUACAAAAUGGGGAAAAAAAUUGUUAGCUACAACUCAGAGGACUAAUAUUUGCAAUAUGUAAAGAACUCAAAAAAAUCACUCUCUCCAAAAUAAAAGAGUCAGUCAAAAAAUGGGCAACUAAAAUGAAUAGACACUUCUCAGAAGAAAUGCAAAUGGCCAGUAAAUAACAUGCACAUGAAAAAUGUGCAGCAUCACUGGCUAGUAGAGAAAUGAUGCAAUUGCAUCUUACUCCAGAAAGAAUGGCCAUCAUCAAGAAAUCAAAUAAUAACAAAUUCUGUUGAGGCUGCAGGGAAAAAGGAACCCUUCUAUAUUGUUGGUGGGAGUGUAAACUAGUACACUCAUGAAAAUCAGUAUGAAAACUCAGAAAACUGAAACUAGAAAUUCCAUUGGACCCAAUUAUUCUUUUUGUAGGUAUCUUCCCAAAAAAGUUAAAGACAUCAUAUUAUAAUGAUACAUGCAUACUCAUGUUUACAGUAGCACAGUUCAUAAUAGCUAAAUCUUAGAAGCAACCUAUAUGUCCAUCAGCAGAUGAAUGGAUAAAGAAAAUUUGGAGUAAUCCUCUGCCAUAAAGAAGGAUAAACUUAAAGUCAUUUGUAGGAAAAUAGAUGGACCUUGAGACCAUAAUGUUAAAUGGGAUAAAUCAGCACACAAACUCAAAUAUAGCAUGGUUUCUCCCAUGUGAAAGACUAAAUAAAGAUCAAAAUAGAAGAUAAUAGAAAACUAGGGAGGUAGAUCCUUUUUUUCUUUUCUUUUUUUUUUGGUACCGGGGAUUGAACUCCGAUCCUUGCGCUUGUGAGGCAGGCACCAGAACCACUGAGCUAAAUCCUGGCCCCAGAUCCUUUUUUUCUAAUGGGAAGGGGGAUUAUGAGAUGGAGGGAUAAGGGAAAGGAAAUGAAAAAGAAUUGCGGUGGUUACAUAUGUGCACCAACUCCCCACAAGGAAUGUAAUCAUACUGCAAAUGUGCUAAUAAAAAAAAACACAUUUAGAAUGCAGCUUUACUUUAAAAAUAAAAAUAAAUUUGUGUUGGUUGAAGCUACUACAUUUAUGGUAAUUUGUCACAGAAGCAAUAAAAAUGAAUACGGGAUAACAAAUGGAGAUUUGGCUGUUCGUUGGGGGCUCCCAAUGUCACUACUUAAAAAUUUUUGCAUUUAUUCUCUUGGUGUGGCUAGUUUCUCCAGAGGUGAAUUCAGUCUCCUGCUAGGGGAUGUGUCAUUUAGAUUCAGUCAACCAGAAUUACUACAACUACUGCAAGAAUCGAGGGUUUAAUGUAGCUGCUAGGGGUUGGAGGAAGUAGAGGUCUUGAAAACUUCAGCCCAAGGGUGACUUGAGCCUGCAGCACUGGAGCAGGAGAAGCCAGAGGUCGCCAGGAAGUGCAAGAAAUCGCAGCAUCUCCCCACGAAUGGCAGGCUACCACGUGGGAACUGGUAGAGAAGACUGCAGCCACCAUGUUUCUGAUAUCCCGCAUGCCUUCACAUUUGGUGCAGGUUGCUCUCACUGGCAAACUACCCAGGACCCAUGCAGGGAAGGGGGCGGUUCUGAGAGAUGUUCCAGCCUUAGCUGGGCAUGAUGGUGGUGCUGGGUAAGCUGACAAGAGACAGUCUUAACACAGGAUAGGCCUGGCUGCUGUAUUCAGGAGGCUGAACUGAGGAAAGGGGCCAGAGACUCGUUCAGAGUAUGGACUUAAAUUUAAUUCUUCUUUUCAGCAUGGCACCCAGUGCUCUCUUGACUGUGCCUGAUGUCACUAGAUCCAGAGCUCUCCAGAGAGAGAACGUGUCUUGGGGAGCAGGCUGGGAUUUAACUGGGCCCUUCCUCUUAUAUCCCAGGACCCUGCUUCCAGGCCCAUUCAAUUUCAGAGGUACUGUGCCUCCUCCAGUCCAAGCCUGCCUGCCCUUCUACAUCAGUAUCUAAUUGCUUCUCAAGGGCUUUCUUCUCUGGGGCCUCAGGUAUUAGCAUUUGUGCUGUGUUAAAUUUAAUUACUACCUAUCAGUUCAUUUGCUAAGAUUAUAGUGAUAGCUCUCAUCUGCUGAUGUCUGCACUUUCAUUCUUUAUGUUGUAAUUCGUUCAUACUUAGUCCAUUAUUAUGAUGUUAGUGGAAUUUCAGAAAGAAAUAAAGAUAGGCCCCAGAGUUCGCUCUGUUUGGCUGCAAGAUUUUUAAGAUAAAUAGUAUGAUACAGUACAAAGAGCUCAAAAACAGAUGACCUGCAUCUCGUUCCAGCCACCAUAUCAUUUUACUUUUGUGAAACCCGGUCUUCUCAUCUCUAAAAUAAGUUGAUCCCAUUGAAGUCCCUUUUAAAACAACAGUAAAAGCUAUGACCUUUCCCCACCCCACCCCCAAAAAGAGUACAAAUCCACACACAUCCAAACUUGAGUAUUUGAACUCCUGGCCUGGAACAUCUCUGAAGUCACUUUUGGACCUGACAUUCUGAUUCUCAAAGCUAUAGUGUUUAAAUAUAAUGGGUUUCAAAGAUGACACUGCAAACCAUUCUUUUAAGAAGUUAACAAAACAAUUUUCAACAUUCUAUUUAUGGAAAAAAAAAAACAAAACCAGAGUCGAGGUAAUCUGAAUUAAGUCCAGUGAAGGCAAGAAACUUAGAGAUUCAAGUGGCUUGUGGGUUUUUAGAUGGCUAAUGAGGGUGCCUAAUGGAAGGAGAGUGACCAGAGGUCAGAGAUCAAAAAACCUCUCUCUCCCCAUGGAGAAUGGCAUGGAAUCUGGAUGAUAAUCAGAUGGAGAGACCUGGCCAGCAGGCAUCCAGCACAGUCCACAGUGCGUUGGCAGUGGCCUCCCUGGCCAUGCACUCUCACUGCUGGUCAUUUGAAUAAUAAUGUCAAGAAACAAACUAAACUAUAGCCUAGGUAAUAGCAUCACUGCAUGGCCAAGUGACUCCUUUUUUUUUUUUUUUUUUUUCGCUUUAUUUCCAGCUCUUCAGGACCUGUAGGGCAGCAUAGCUUCUGGGAUUCUGUGCAUGUUCCAUCAGACGAAGGAGCAACAUGAUUUCUCUUGGGCUGAAG
ensembl:lncRNA